AUUGAACGCUGGCGGCAGGCCUAACACAUGCAAGUCGAACGAGUGCCGGACGGGUGAGUAAUGUCUGGGAAACUGCCUGAUGGAGGGGGAUAACUACUGGAAACGGUAGCUAAUACCGCAUACCAUCAGAUGUGCCCAGAUGGGAUUAGCUAGUUGGUGGGGUACCGGCUCACCAAGGCGACGAUCCCUAGCUGGUCUGAGAGGAUGACCAGCCACACUGGAACGUAGACACGGUCCAGACUCCUACGGGAGGCAGCAGUGGGGAAUAUUGCACAAUGGGCGCGAGACUGAGGCAGCCAUGCCGCGUGUAUGAAGAAGGCCUUCGGGUUGUAAAGUACUUUCAGCGGGGAGGCGUUACCCGGAGAAGAAGCACCGGCUAACUCCGUGCCAGCAGCCGCGGUAAUAC
rnacentral:rRNA from 1 species